rnacentral:rRNA from 1 species
GACGAACGCUGGCGGCGUGCUUAACACUUGCGAGUCGAACGGAAAGGCCCUGCUUUUGUGGGGUGCUCGAGUGGCGAACGGGUGAGUAACACGUGAGUAACCUGCCCUUGACUUUGGGAUAACUUCAGGAAACUGGGGCUAAUACCGGAUAGGAGCUCCUGCUGCAUGGUGGGGGUUGGAAAGUUUCGGCGGUUGGGGAUGGACUCGCGGCUUAUCAGCUUGUUGGUGGGGUAGUGGCUUACCAAGGCUUUGACGGGUAGCCGGCCUGAGAGGGUGACCGGCCACAUUGGGACUGAGAUACGGCCCAGACUCCUACGGGAGGCAGCAGUGGGGAAUAUUGCACAAUGGGCGGAAGCCUGAUGCAGCAACGCCGCGUGCGGGAUGACGGCCUUCGGGUUGUAAACCGCUUUCGCCUGUGACGAAGCGUGAGUGACGGUAAUGGGUAAAGAAGCACCGGCUAACUACGUG